UCCCUCCCCCCCGGCGCACACACGCACAGACAGGCUGCCAGCCCCAGACCCCGUUUCCCUGCCGGGAGAUGCCCGGCCACUCCCUCCCGGGCCCCGCCGAGCACCGCCCGGACCGGCCGCGGCGUCGGGGGCUGCGCCCGCGGGUGGGGCGGGGGGGAUCGGCAGAGAGGGGACCGAGGAGAAGAGGAGGGAAGACGAGGAGGAGGAAAAGGUCCACGCUUUCCUGUCCUAGGUAGAAACACGGGCAGUAGUACCCACGGACAUCACUGAAACCCAGCUUUUGCACAUAGAAACGCACUGGACGGGAUGACACUUGCAGUGUGUGGCAGGGGCAUUUUCUGUGACAGAUCCUCCCAAGCCUGUUUCACAAACCGUUUUCCUUCAAACUGUGAUGUUUCAUUUGGGGAAAUAAACACUCUCUGAAGCAAACGAGUCUGAA